CCAAUAGGCAGAGGUGCCAAAAUCUGAUCAAAAUAACAAUAGCUAGGUUAAAACCGAGAGAGAGUCGCUUUACCCUAUAUAAACACUUAUUCGGUCAUAUCUCUAAUCAAUGUGAGUUUCUCGGCCUUGUGAGAGUACUUACGGGGACGUGAGAGUCUCUGGCGCUACGCUUAGCAUCGGUGGCGGAGAAGACGGUGUAAACAAGAACAAAGGUGCCAACAAUCUCAGCACCGAGACCAUCACCCUUGGUGUAACCAGGGGCAACAAAGUUAGCACCACCUCCUAGAGUUCCGUACUUGGUCUUUCCCUCAAAACCUUUCACCACGCCGGCGCCAACAAUAGCACCCAGGCACUGCAUCACGAUGUAGAAAAUAGCCCUUGUCAAGGACAACUUCCUCGCCAAAAACAGCCCAAAAGUCACAGCCGGGUUUAUGUGACCUCCUGUAUCACACACACAUCAAAACACCCGGUUUAGAAACCAGAAAAAUUUAGUUCGCAAAUUAAAAUGAUUUGUGUGCAAUUCAAUUUAAGUACAAGAGCACAAACUUACAGUUAACAUAGACUAACAAAAAUUUAGUUCACAAAUUAAAAUAUUUCUGUACAAAGUUUCAUUUAGCAAAGACCAUGAAAAAUUUGAUCACAUUAAAAUAUUUCUGUGUAUAAAGUUUCAUUAAAAAUUUAGUUCACAACAUAAAAUAGUUUCUCUGCAAAUUAAUCAUAAUCUACCAAGAAAAAUUUAGUUCACAACUUAAAACAAAUAAUUUGUUGUGUGAAGUUUGUGAAAUUUUGACCUGAGAUUCCGGCGGUGCAGUAAACGAGAGCGAAGAUCAUGCCACCGAAAGCCCAAGCAAUCCCUUGAAUACCAACAGUUUUGCACUUGCUAUCGGCACCGCUGACACCCAUGACGGUCAAGACGGUGAUGUAGAGGAACAGAAAGGUGGCAACAAACUCGGCAAUACCGGCUCUGUAGAAGGACCAUGAGGUGAGCUCCGACGGCUCAAACAGCGGCGCAGGUGGUGGCUCCUGGUAGUCCUUGCCAUCAUCUUGGCUCUGAG
rnacentral:lncRNA from 1 species